GUCUAUGACCAUACCACUGUGAACGUGCCCUAAUUCAUCUGAUCUCGGAAGUGAAGCAGGGUCGGGCCUGGUUAGGUUUUAAGGAGUCUUCCUAAGGCCACAUGGAUA
rnacentral:rRNA from 14 species